rnacentral:rRNA from 1 species
CCUACGGGUGGCAGCAGUGGGGAAUAUUGCACAAUGGGGGAAACCCUGAUGCAGCGACGCCGCGUGAGUGAAGAAGUAAUUCGUUACGUAAAGCUCUAUCAGCAGGGAAGAAAUACUGACCUUACGGUCAGCAGACGGUACCUGAGUAAGAAGCCCCGGCUAACUACGUGCCAGCAGCCGCGGUAAUACGUAGGGGGCAAGCGUUAUCCGUAUUUACUGGGUGUAACGGGAGCGUAGACGGUGCACCAAGUCUGGAGUGAAAUGCCGCAGCUUAACUGCGGAACUGCUUUGGAAACUGGCGAACUAGAGUGCGGGAGGGGUAAGCGGAAGUCCUAGUGUAGCGGUGAAAUGCGUAGAUAUUAGGAGGAACACCGGUGGCGAAGGCGGCUUACUGGACCGUAACUGACGUUGAGGCUCGAAAGCGUGGGGAGCAAACAGGAUUAGAUACCCUUGUAGUC